AGAAUCAACGCUGGCGGCGUGCCUAACACAUGCAAGUCGCACGAGAAAGGGGCUUCGGCCCUGAGUAAAGUGGCGCACGGGUGAGUAACACGUGAAUUAUCUACCUCCGAGUGGGGAAUAACUGAGAGAAAUCUUAGCUAAUACCGCAUAACACUCACGAGUCAAAGCAGCAAUGCGCUUGGAGAGGAGUUCGCGGCCGAUUAGUUAGUUGGCGGGUAAUGGCCCACCAAGACGAUGAUCGGUA
rnacentral:rRNA from 1 species